GGGUUCGUAGCUCAAUCGGUAGAGCAGGGGCCUUUUAAGCCCAAGGUUCUGGGUUCGAUUCCCAGCGAACCCACCA
rnacentral:tRNA from 1 species